GAUAUCAAGGAUCGCCCCCUGUCAGCGCGUCGCGCCCACAGGGGUAUUUGUG
rnacentral:sRNA from 1 species